rnacentral:antisense_RNA from 1 species
CUGGCAAGCCAGCUCCCACAGGGAUUUGUGGGGUUCACCGAAUCUGCGAUACACCGGAAAACCUGUGGGAGCUGGCUUGCCAG